CUAUAUAUAAUUAAAAUAGUAGAUUACUAUACCAGGGAAGUAAUUUGAUUUCUCGUAUCAAGAUGAGUAAAAGUAUCCGAGGUCUUUA